UACGAAGGUGGCUAGCGUUGUUCGGAAUCACUGGGCGUAAAGCGCGCGUAGGCGGCAAUACAAGUCAGAGGUGAAAUGCCGGGGCUUAACCCCGGAACUGCCUUUGAAACUGUAUUGCUAGAGUCUCGGAGGGGAUAGCGGAAUUCCUAAUGUAGAGGUGAAAUUCGUAGAUAUUAGGAGGAACACCUGUGGCGAAGGCGGCUAUCUGGACGAGUACUGACGCUGAGGCGCGAAAGCGUGGGGAGCGAACAGG
rnacentral:rRNA from 1 species